rnacentral:rRNA from 1 species
GUCGAGCGGAUGAAGGGAGCUUGCUCCUGGAUUCAGCGGCGGACGGGUGAGUAAUGCCUAGGAAUCUGCCUGGUAGUGGGGGAUAACGUCCGGAAACGGGCGCUAAUACCGCAUACGUCCUGAGGGAGAAAGUGGGGGAUCUUCGGACCUCACGCUGUCAGAUGAGCCUAGGUCGGAUUAGCUAGUUGGUGGGGUAAAGGCCUACCAAGGCGACCAUCCGUAUCUGGUCUGAGAGGAUGAUCAGUCACACUGGAACUGAGACACGGUCCAGACUCCUACGGGAGGCAGCAGUGGGGAAUAUUGGACAAUGGGCGAAAGCCUGAUCCAGCCAUGCCGCGUGUGUGAAGAAGGUCUUCGGAUUGUAAAGCACUUUAAGUUGGGAGGAAGGGCAGUAAGUUAAUACCUUGCUGUUUUGACGUUACCAACAGAAUAAGCACCGGCUAACUUCGUGCCAGCAGCCGCGGUAAUACGAAGGGUGCUAGCGUUAAUCGGAUUUACUGGGCGUAAAGCGCGCGUAGGUGGUUCAGCAAGUUGGAUGUGAAAUCCCCGGGCUCAACCUGGGAACUGCAUCCAAAACUACUGAGCUAGAGUACGGUAGAGGGUGGUGGAAUUUCCUGUGUAGC